rnacentral:rRNA from 1 species
CGGACGGGUGAGUAAUGUCUGGGAAACUGCCUGAUGGAGGGGGAUAACUACUGGAAACGGUAGCUAAUACCGCAUAACGUCACAAGACCAAAGAGGGGGACCUUCGGGCCUCUUGCCAUCGGAUGUGCCCAGAUGGGAUUAGCUAGUAGGUGGGGUAACGGCUCACCUAGGCGACGAUCCCUAGCUGGUCUGAGAGGAUGACCAGCCACACUGGAACUGAGACACGGUCCAG